UGGAAAUUGGCAUGGCAACUAACGGCCGAAAGCUACGAAAACACAAUGCCAAUUAGAAAGUUGUCAGAUGUAACAUAUGUUAAUUUCGGAUUACACUUUCU